AUGCAGAAAGAGAUUCUGGAGCAGCAUGGUACCUGCUGGAAACUGUCAGUGGUUUCCUUUGGUGAGGCAGAGCACUUACAGGACAGAGUGGAUAAGGUAGAGAAGUAGGAAAGGACCUUUAGCCUGUUGGUUAGUGUCUCCCAAACCGUG